GACGAACGCUGGCGGCGCGCUUAACACAUGCAAGUCGAACGGAAAGGCCUGCUUUCCCUUGUGGAUUGCGGGUACUCGAGUGGCGAACGGGUGAGUAACACGUGAGUGAUCUGCCCCCAACUUGGGUAUAAGCCUGGGAAACUGGGUCUAAUUCCCGAUAGGACUGCAGGGUGGUGCCUGUGGUGGAAAACGAUUUUCUAGUGGUUGGGGAUGAGCUCGCGGCCUAUCAGCUUGUUGGUGGGGUAAUGGCCUACCAAGGCGGCGACGGGUAGCCGGCCUGAGAGGGUGGACGGCCACAUUGGGACUGAGAUACGGCCCAGACUCCUACGGGAGGCAGCAGUGGGGAAUAUUGCACAGUGGGCGGAAGCCUGAUGCAGCGACGCCGCGUGGGGGAUGACGGCCUUCGGGUUGUAAACUCCUUCCGACCGCGAGGAAGCCACCUGGUUGGAAGGGUGGUGACGGUAGUGGUAGAAGAAGCACCGGCUAACUACGUG
rnacentral:rRNA from 1 species